rnacentral:lncRNA from 1 species
AAAAGUGGAGAAAUUUGUAGAGAGAGAAUGAGAAGACGGAGGCCUAACCUAAACAACCAGCAACUUAGAAAACAUCAACUAGUGAAGACUAAAGAAGGACUAAAAGCCUAAUUAACAAAAUAAACGGUGGAGAUUGAAGUGCGUGGGUAUCAGCCGUUGAUCAUGAAAGAGAAAGUGGGAAGGGGCGUGGCGUUUACGCGACUUUAUUCUUCUUUGCGUCUCUGCGUAAGCGUGAGCGUCGGCCGCUCGCUAAGACAAGUUAAAGAAUUUAUGGUCGAUGAUGAAACGGUGCCGUUUCUCUUCUUUUAGUCUUUUGUCCAUUGUGGCAGACGUUAAGUGGUUAUUGACAUGGGACCAGCAAUACGGUGUUUUUUGUUGUUGAUAACGUAGUAAUUGAGGUUAUGAAUUGUUUAGUCUAAAAUACCCUCAACAUAAUGCCACAUACGUCCUUGUUUGAGCCAUUUUUCAAAACUCAUUUUCAAUCCAACAUUCAUCAAUAAAAUAAUUUUAUA